AUUAAACGCUGGCGGCAGGCUUAACACAUGCAAGUCGAGCGGGGGGAGGUAGCUUGCUACCCAACCUAGCGGCGGACGGGUGAGUAAUGCUUAGGAAUCUGCCUAUUAGUGGGGGACAACAUUUCGAAAGGGAUGCUAAUACCGCAUACGCCCUAAGGGGGAAAGCAGGGGAUCUUCGGACCUUGCGCUAAUAGAUGAGCCUAAGUCGGAUUAGCUAGUUGGUGGGGUAAAGGCCUACCAAGGCGACGAUCUGUAGCGGGUCUGAGAGGAUGAUCCGCCACACUGGGACUGAGACACGGCCCAGACUCCUACGGGAGGCAGCAGUGGGGAAUAUUGGACAAUGGGGGGAACCCUGAUCCAGCCAUGCCGCGUGUGUGAAGAAGGCCUUUUGGUUGUAAAGCACUUUAAGCGAGGAGGAGGCUACCGAGAUUAAUACUCUUGGAUAGUGGACGUUACUCGCAGAAUAAGCACCGGCUAACUCUGUGCCAGCCGCCGCCGUAACAC
rnacentral:rRNA from 1 species